AGGAGCUUCCCCCUCUGUGCUCAUCUGCUUACUCCUGUCUUCACCGAAGAGCUCAAAGGCAAGUGCAAUGCCUUGGAGCAGCAAGAUUUACAUCAGAUCAAAUGCCAAGGCAUGAGAAAUGAGCUCCAGAAGGGCUGCCUGUGAAUCCAGGGGUUUCACAACUGGAAAUGCACCUUGAACAAUAACUUCUUUAGAAGCUGUGAUAUCUGGACUUGCAACAGCUGCAACCCCAGCCUUGCUCUGUAUCAGUGCACGGGAGGUGCUCAACCCCUCCAGUUCUACUCCCAGUCUUGGCUCAGACCCAGGGCCAAGUGCAUGGGUUUUUCCUGGAAGAGCAGAGCAAGAACAGAGUUCCCACCAAUAAUGUCUGAAAAAUAACCAUGAUAAAUGUCAUUUAAUUUUCUGUAGAAAUUAAGGACAACAGAAUGCACUGUGUGAAAAGAAGGAUGGUUGCUUGGUUAAUUAGAGACAAGAAAUGAAGAUUAUUGGUGGCUUAUGGCUGAUUUGAUUCAGCAGCUUUUACUCAAUAAGGAAUAUACAUCUGAUUGUCUCUCCUUCUGUGUAAAAAAAAUGGACUAGUCCAGCCCCCCACCUGCUAGGUAUCAAAUGCCACAUGAACAAGAGUAAGAUGAGGAAACAGUCAUAGAAUAAUUUGGGCCUUUAAAACUCAUCUGGUCCAGCCCCCUGAAAGUGAGCAUGGACAACUUUAAGUAGAGCAGAGCCCCAUCCAGUCUAGCCUUGAAUACUUCCAGGGAUGCAUCAUCUACCAUCUAUCAGCCCAAUUUAUCUUCUUUGUCUCCCACUGUGUCGUGGAGGGGUUUCUCUUAUUCCUUCCUUAUUAGGGGGAGGUGAGAAAUUAAUUUGAGGCAGUACU